rnacentral:tRNA from 1 species
UAUUUAUUAGUUUAAAAUAAAACAUUAUAUUUUCAAUAUAAAAAUAAUAAUUUUUAUAAAUAU